AUUGAACGCUGGCGGCAGGCUUAACACAUGCAAGUCGAGCGGGGUGAUGGUGCUUGCACUAUCACUUAGCGGCGGACGGGUGAGUGAUGCUUAGGAAUCUGCCUAUUAGUGGGGGACAACAUCUCGAAAGGGAUGCUAAUACCGCAUACGUCCUACGGGAGAAAGCAGGGGAUCACUUGUGACCUUGCGCUAAUAGAUGAGCCUAAGUCGGAUUAGCUAGUUGGUGGGGUAAAGGCCUACCAAGGCGACGAUCUGUAGCGGGUCUGAGAGGAUGAUCCGCCACACUGGGACUGGGACACGGCCCAGACUCCUACGGGAGGCAGCAGUGGGGAAUAUUGGACAAUGGGGGGAACCCUGAUCCAGCCAUGCCGCGUGUGUGAAGAAGGCCUUAUGGUUGUAAAGCACUUUAAGCGAGGAGGAGGCUCUUUUGGUUAAUACCCAAGAUGAGUGGACGUUACUCGCAGAAUAAGCACCGGCUAACUCUGUGCCAGCAGCCGCCGUAA
rnacentral:rRNA from 1 species